UUACAUACUGACGGGACAAAAUUCUGAUAGUCCGUUUCUCGGCUAUGUAACCUUAAAAAUUCGAAUAAAGCCAAUGAGUUGUGAACGUCUCCGUGUAAAAUCAUUCAAUUGUCAUUAGUCCCUAUUAUGCCUGGUGGGCAUAUGCAUUAAAAGAGGAUAAGUUGGUCAAAUGGCUAAUGACCCUAAAUACAGUACUACGGAUAUAAGAAAAAAGAAGUUUUUUUGCACACCUUGAAAGAAUGAAAUAAAUAACAACAGAUUAGAUGUGCAAUCACAAUAAUAGAUGGUUUUUUCGCUAAAAGCAAUCUCUUCCCAGCAACAACUUAAGGUACAAAAUGUGAAAAUAUAUAUUCUACUAUGAUUUUAACAAGUUGAACUCCAUGUCCACAGCAUACUUUUCCUUAGAGCCGAACCAAUAUAUUAAGAAUCCUACAAAAAUUGUUGUAUUUUUUUGCAAACAGUGUCAAAAAAUAACACAAAAAAAUGGGUAAUUUAUGGAAACAGUGACUACACAUUAUUUUUUUGACAGGCACACAGUGUCCAUCACGACUCCCUGGAUCUGACUUUUUGGUAAUGACAGGGUAUCCGCAAUGGCCCAUUAGCCUAAACAAGGCUGGUGUAGCAUUCAACAUGUUAAUUUAAUCAUAUAAACUGUAGAUCUUUAAUGAACUUUAUAAUCUGAAAAGAGUAAGUGGGAGGCUUUGUAAUUGAAACUGUUCAUCAUCAGGUGGAUAAGGUUUUUCAAAUAGGCUAAAUAUGUGCAUAAAGUCUGCAACCUAAUGGUGUUAGAAACUACUCAUAUAUACCACAGAGUUAACAGUCACCAACUUUAAGACAUGAAGUCUAAAUCUCAAUCGAUUGUCUCAUGAUGGUCUCGUCUGCCCACCUAAAUGUAUUACUGCUCUAUGGCAGGAAUAGCAUCUGUGCAGAGUGUAAAAAGCAUCUUGGUACCAAAAUUUAAAUUAUAUUUCAAACAUUGAUAAACAACAAACAUUAAUAAACACAAACUGUGUGUAAAUUUUUAGAAUAUUCUGUAUUUUACAUGAAGCUUGUAAAUAUUUUAAGAAGCAGCAGUUAUAAGCAAAUAAAUAAUUCAUUGGAGAUUGGAAUCACACAUCCUGUUUAUACAUUGUUCAAUUUUGAAGUUUGUGACUUUACAUUAAGAUUUGGAUUAUGAAAAAAGACAUGUAUUACAAAUUUUAAAAAUUAAUCAGGGGAACAGGAAAUUUUAAUAAAAGUAUGUAGGUAAA